ACGAACGCUGGCGGCGUGCCUAAUACAUGCAAGUCGAACGGUCUUUCUAUGGAAGCUUGCUUCCACUGAGAAGAUAGUGGCGAACGGGUGAGUAACACGUGGGUAACCCUGCCCAUAAGAGGGGGAUAACAUCCGGAAACGGGUGCUAAUACCGCAUAGUUUUCUUGAUCGCAUGAUCGGGAAAGGAAAGACGGCCUUUGUGCUGUCGCUUAUGGAUGGACCCGCGGCGUAUUAGUUAGUUGGUGAGGUAACGGCUCACCAAGACGAUGAUACGUAGCCGACCUGAGAGGGUGAUCGGCCACAUUGGGACUGAGACACGGCCCAAACUCCUACGGGAGGCAGCAGUAGGGAAUCUUCCGCAAUGGACGAAAGUCUGACGGAGCAACGCCGCGUGAGUGAAGAAGGUUUUCGGAUUCCGUAAAACUCUGUUGUCAGAGAAGAACAAGUUGGAGAGUGACUGCUCCAGCCUUGACGGUAUCUGACCAGAAAGCCACGGCUAACUACGUGCCAGCAGCUGC
rnacentral:rRNA from 1 species